rnacentral:ncRNA from 1 species
AGGAGCCGUGUGAGGUGAAAGUCUCAAGCACGGUUUUGAAGACGAGCGGUUCCCGUGAGGAAAUCGCUUAGUUUAAC